ensembl:lncRNA
AUGGAGAUCAUGCUGGGCCAAAGGCACCUCAGGGAGAGCAACAGCCUGUGGCCCGGCUCUCCAGAGUCCCUUUAUAGGGGGCCCUGGUGGCUCCUGGAGGUUCCUCUGAAAAGGCGAAGGGGGCCUGGGGAGGCUGCAACAGCCUCAAGCUACAGCCCUGCUCAAAGACUUCAGAGCUUUCCCCAGAGCCCCUGCCUAGAAUGGGGGCUGCCUGUCCUUCCCUCUCCAGAGCUAGCUGAGCAGCGGGCCUCCAGCUUUGGCUCUGAGCUCUGUGGCAAAGGCCCCGGGGCGCCUCCUGAGACAGGCCCAAACUUUCGGGUGGCCCCCCCACACCCCCUUUGUGGCCAGGGGCUGGAGAGGGCCUUCCUCCGGGGUGCUGCCCCCUUCUUCCUUGUCCUGCCUUGCAUGGGACCCGGGGAAUGCUGCCAGCUGGCCCCCCCUGACCCUCCUGACCCAUGCAUGAGGUCACAACGGGGGCCUCCUGGCUGUGUUACGCCUGGGAGGCUGCCCCUUCUUAGCUCAGCUGUCCCAGAGAGCCAUAGCCAGUCUGCCCUCCCCACAGAGAGUAUCCUGGCCCUCCUCCAGCAGCCCCCUCCACCCCCACCCCAGAGCCCUGAUCUUCAGGCGCACCGACACUCCCUGAGCCCAAUGAAACCCCGGAAACCCUCACCAGUUGUCCAGCCCGGAGAGCUCCACCUGCCGGAAGAGGAAGUGGAAGCGGAACUGUCGUUCCCGCUGUGCUUCCCCAAGCCUGGCCCUCUACAGAGAGCCAUGGCGGAGGGCAACUACCCGCCCCUACCCGCCCCUCGGGCCCCUCACGGCCAUGUUCGAGAGCGACUUUGUGCAGGACGAGAGCGCCCCGAUGUCCGCAGCGGAGGCCCCCCCCAAACGGAAGGAGGUGGCCUUCCCUCCCCAGUACCCAUCCCAAGGACCAAGGGGAGCCCGGCCUGGACCGGGGACAAAGCACUGCACUACCCGGGGCCGCUCUCCCAAGUGAUUGACCAGCAGAGCGCCCCGGCCCUCCCGGAAGUGAAGUCGGAAGUGAUGUCGAGAGCGGAAGCCGCCCACAUGCCCUUUGGUCCCAGCAGAAGCUCCCAGUCAGGAGAGAAGAGGAGCGGAAGCUGCCGCACCAUUGGAGACGUCCUCUUCAGGGCCCUCCAGGCCACCCUCCCAAGAGCACCCCCAGGAGCGGGGCACUGCCAACAAGCUGCCGCUUCCCCAAGAGCAGCCGCAGCCCCAAGAACUCCCCCAAGACCAGCCGCAGCCCUAAGAGCUCCCCCAAGACCAGCUGCAGCCCCAAGAGCUCUCCCAAGACCAGCCGCAGCCCCAAGAGCUCCCCCAAGACCAGCCGCAGCCCCAAGAGCUCCCCCAAGACCAGCCGCAGCCCCAAGAGCUCUCCCAAGACCAGCCGCAGCCCCAAGAGCUCCCCCAAGACCAGCCGCAGCCCCAAGAGCUCCCCCAAGACCAGCCGCAGCCCCAAGAGCUCUCCCAAGACCAGCCGCAGCCCCAAGAGCUCUCCCAAGACCAGCUGCAGCCCCAGGAGCUCCCCCAAGACCAGCCGCAGCCCCAACAGCUCCCCCAAGACCAGCCGCAGCCCCAAGAGCUCCCCCAAGACCAGCCGCAGCCCCAACAGCUCCCCCAAGACCAGCUGCAGCCCCAAGAGGGCCCCCAAGAGAGGCGCCAUUCCAAGGGCCACCGCCAUUCAAAAAAGUGGCAGCUUCCCCAAGAGCAGCCAAAGCCCCAAAAGCUCCCCCAAAAGCAGCCACACUCCCGAAGGCGGUGCGAAUGCAAAGAGGCACAGCAGCCACAGCCCCAAGAGCAGCACCCAGCUAAGGAGCGUGACUCCUCAGGGGAGCCCAGAACCCUGGCAGCAUAUGUAUUAAAAAAGUUAGAGGCCUGGGAUGCCAGGCAUCACAGGUGGGUCCUCUGCCAGCCUGGGGAAGCAGCUUCGGCCUGGUCCUGGGUCGCCACAGAGCAGCCCAAGGACAACCCGAGGGACGGUCCGGAGCCCACCCAGGCCUCACAGCCCUCCGCCAGUUUCAAGGCUCUGAGGAAGGCUAUCCAGAAGCCACCGAGCUGGCUCACCAGAGCAUGGCAACAGUGUAAGAAGGUGGUCUGCACCUGUACCAAGGGCUCCAACUAAUCCCCUGCCCAAACCACCUAGCCCACUGCAUUAGAUUUUUUUUUAAUUUUUUUAAAAUAUAUUUUAUUUGAUCAUUUCCAAGCAUUAUUCGUUAAAGACAUAGAUCAUUUUCUUUUCCUCCCCCCCACCCCCAUAGCCGACGCGUAAGUCCACUGGUUAUUACAUGUUUUCUUGAUUUGAACCCAUUUCCAUGUUGAUAAUAUUUGCAUUGGAGUGUUCCUUUAGAUUCUCUCCUCUGUCAUGUCCCCUCAACCGCUGUAUUCAGGCAGUUGCUUUUCCUCGGUGUUUCCACUCCCAUAGUUUAUCCUUUGCUUAUGAAUAGUGUUUUUUUCUCCUGGAUCCUGCAUAUUGUUCAGGGACAUUACACCGCCACUAAUGGAGAAGUUCAUUACAUUCGAUUAUACCACAGUGUAUUAGUCUCUGUGUACAAUGUUCUCCUGGUUCUGCUCCUCUCGCUCUACAUCGCUUCCUGGAGGUUGUUCCAGUCUCCAUGGAAUUCCUCCACUUUAUUAUUCCUUUUAGCACAAUAGUAUUCCAUCACCAACAUAUACCACAAUUUGCUCAGCCAUUCCCCGAUUGAUGGGCAUCCCCUCGUUUUCCAGUUUUGGGCCACCACAAAGAGCGCAGCUAUGAAUAUUUUUGUACAAGUCUUUGUGUCCAUUAUCUCUUUGGGGUACAGACCCAGCAGUG